GUAACAUAAAGUUCUUCAUAUUAACAUAAAGUUCUUCAUAUCAGUAACAUGAAGUUCUUUCUAUCCGCAGCGCCUUGGAACAUGGGGUGAGUCUAAAGCUGCUUCGCAGCGCACUGGAUUCAAGCCAAGAUGCUAUCAUGGACGUGGUAACGGAGCAAAUAAUGAUUGGUGAGAUCUACACUACUAUUGAUGAUUGCCAUUUCAAAUCUUCAAGAGUUUAACUAGUGAAAGAUCAUGACGUCGAUUAAAAUGUAUCGUCCUAAUCGGAUGCUAUUAUUUUUUGAACUAAUUGAGUGACUUUGUCACUUGUAAGACUGUGCUAUUUCCUAUGCAUUUUUUCUACCCAGUUUACCUGCUUA